GAAUAUUGGACAAUGGGCGAAAGCCUGAUCAAGCCAUGCCGCGUGUGUGAAGAAGGCCUUUGGGUUGUAACGCUCUUUAAGCGAGGAGGAGGCUACUUGGAUUAAUACUCUAGGAUAGUGGACGUUACUCGCAGAAUAAGCACCGGCUAGCUAGUGGCCAGCAGCCUCGGUACUACAGAGGGUGCGAGCGUUAAUCGGAUUCACUGGGCGUAAAGCGGGCGUAGGCGGCUUUUUGAGUCGGAUGUGAAAUCCCUGAGCUUAACUUAGGAAUUGCAUUCGAUACUGGGAAGCUAGAGUAUGGGAGAGGAUGGUAGAAUUCCAGGUGUAGCGGUGAAAUGCGUAGAGAUCUGGAGGAAUACCGAUGGCGAAGGCAGCCAUCUGGCCUAAUACUGACGCUGAGGUACGAAAGCAUGGGGAGCAAAC
rnacentral:rRNA from 1 species